rnacentral:rRNA from 1 species
GUGGCGAACGGGUGAGUAACACGUGAGCAAUCUGCCCUUGACUCUGGGAUAACUGCGGGAAACUGUAGCUAAUACCGGAUACGACCCUCGGAGGCAUCUCCUGGGGGUGGAAAGAAUUUUGGUCAAGGAUGAGCUCGCGGCCUAUCAGCUAGUUGGUGAGGUAAUGGCUCACCAAGGCGACGACGGGUAGCCGGCCUGAGAGGGUGACCGGCCACACUGGGACUGAGACACGGCCCAGACUCCUACGGGAGGCAGCAGUGGGGAAUAUUGCACAAUGGGCGAAAGCCUGAUGCAGCAACGCCGCGUGAGGAACGAAGGCCUUCGGGUUGUAAACCUCUUUUAGUAGGGAAGAAGCGAAAGUGACGGUACCUGCAGAAAAAGCACCGGCUAACUACGUGCCAGCAGCCGCGGUAAUACGUAGGGUGCAAGCGUUGUCCGGAAUUAUUGGGCGUAAAGAGCUCGUAGGCGGUUUGUCGCGUCUGCUGUGAAAACCCGAGGCUCAACCUCGGGCCUGCAGUGGGUACGGGCAGACUAGAGUGCGGUAGGGGAGAUUGGAAUUCCUGGUGUAGCGGUGGAAU